CCUACGGGGGGCAGCAGUGAGGAAUAUUGGUCAAUGGACGCAAGUCUGAACCAGCCAUGUCGCGUGCAGGAUGACGGCCCUAUGGGUUGUAAACUGCUUUUGUACGGGAAGAAAAGAGGGUAUGUAUACUCUUUUGCCGGUACUGUACGAAUAAGCAUCGGCUAACUCCGUGCCAGCAGCCGCGGUAAUACGGAGGAUGCGAGCGUUAUCCGGAUUUAUUGGGUUUAAAGGGUGCGUAGGCGGAAUGGUAAGUCAGUGGUGAAAUGGUGCAGCUCAACUGUAGCAUUGCCAUUGAUACUGUCAUUCUUGAGUACAGAUGAGGUAGGCGGAAUGUGGUGUGUAGCGGUGAAAUGCUUAGAUAUACCACAGAACACCGAUUGCGAAGGCAGCUUACUAGGCUGACACUGACGCUGAAGCACGAAAGCGUGGGUAUCAAACAGGAUUAGAUACCCGGGUAGUC
rnacentral:rRNA from 1 species